CCACCUGCUGCUGAUCUGGCUGAUUUCCAAAGCUGCUAUUUAAGAUAUUGCCCUCCUGGACCAGAUUAUGGACCCUUCCUGUGUGUGGUGGCGUGAGUGGAGUUUUGGAGCAAGUGCGGCUGAAGAGGAGUGAGUGUCUGCGGAGGAGCUGCGGCUGUAGAGGAAGCAUGUGUGUCUCCCUGGAGCCCUGGAUCCCCUUCCCAACUCACUGUACGUAUAUAUAACACAGAGGUGUUCCCUGUUCUAAAUAAACUGUCUUCUUUUGUUUGCAAAGAGUUCUGUCUGCGCUGGAGUCCUUCCAGUAGCCAUGACCAACACUAAUUAUUUGAGAUGACCAAAAACAAGGCUAAUAGUACAAUAAUAAUAUUCAUUUUGCUCCUCGUCCCAAAUUAAUUAAGACACAGAGAACAGAAAGGUUGCAGAAGGAGACAGUCAAAUACAUUAUCAAGAGACAUACACUGACAAGGUGAUGAU